GACGAACGCUGGCGGCGUGCUUAACACAUGCAAGUCGAACGGAAAGGCCCUGCUUUUGUGGGGUGCUCGAGUGGCGAACGGGUGAGUAACACGUGAGUAACCUGCCCUUGACUUUGGGAUAACUUCAGGAAACUGGGGCUAAUACCGGAUAGGAGCUCCUGCUGCAUGGUGGUGGUUGGAAAGUUUCGGCGGUUGGGGAUGGACUCGCGGCUUACCAGCUUGUUGGUGGGGUAGUGGCUUACCAAGGCUUUGACGGGUAGCCGGCCUGAGAGGGUGACCGGCCACAUUGGGACUGAGGUACGGCCCAGACUCCUACGGGCGGCAGCAGUGGGGAAUAUUGCACAAUGGGCGGAAGCCUGAUGCAGCAACGCCGCGUGCGGGAUGACGGCCUUCGGGUUGUAAACCGCUUUCGCCUGUGACGAAGCGUGAGUGACGGUAAUGGGUAAAGAAGCACCGGCUAACUACGUG
rnacentral:rRNA from 1 species